rnacentral:rRNA from 1 species
GAUGAACGCUGGCGGCGUGCCUAAUACAUGCAAGUCGAGCGAACAGACGAGGAGCUUGCUCCUCUGACGUUAGCGGCGGACGGGUGAGUAACACGUGGAUAACCUACCUAUAAGACUGGGAUAACUUCGGGAAACCGGAGCUAAUACCGGAUAAUAUAUUGAACCGCAUGGUUCAAUAGUGAAAUACGGUUUUGCUGUCACUUAUAGAUGGUUCCGCGCCGCUUUAGCUAGUUGGUAAGGUAACGGCUUACCAAGGCAACGAUGCGUAGCCGACCUGAGAGGGUGAUCGGCCACACUGGAACUGAGACACGGUCCAGACUCCUACGGGAGGGAGCAGUAGCGAAUCUUCCGCAAUGGGCGAAAGCCUGACGCAGCAACGCGGCGUGAGAGAUGAAGGUCUUCGGAUCGUAAAACUGUGUUAUUAGGGAAGAACAAAUGUGUAAGUAAAUAUGCACGUAUUGACGGUACCUAAUCAGAAAGCCACGGCUAACUACGUG